rnacentral:lncRNA from 10 species
UGGAGUCCCAUGGACACUGGGUCAGCACUGCCUGGACCCCUACCCAGCUGUGCAGGUGCUGUUUUACCCCUGCAAGGCUCUCGGUCAGGACCGAGCCUCCUCCUUCAGCUCUUGCCCAACUUCGUUGCACCAAGACAGAAGUUUAUGAGCAUGCCCAGAAGAGGAACCAAUAUGGCCUGGGGGCCCUAGAGUGGUCACAUUCCAAGACAGAAAGUGGGUGGUGGCCACCAAGGCUGGAGGAGAGGGCACACGGGGAGUUUGGUGGGGACAGAGUUUCAGUUUGGGAAGACGGAAGCAUUCUGAGAUGGAUGGUGUUCAUGGUGGCACAGCAGUGUGAAUGUGCUUAAGGUCCCUGCACUCUCCACUUUACGGAUUUUAUGGAUGCUUAAAAUUAGGAAAAUUAGGAGUCUUUUGUAGUUUAAAAGUGUGAUGAUUGGCUUUUCUUGCUCUUGUGUGAGUGAGGUGUGCUUCUCUCAAAAUACUAUGUUCUCUCAUAAAUACUAUGCCAUGUAUGGUUUGUUUUGGGGGUUUAUUCUUGAGACAGGGUUUCGCUUUGCCGCCCAGGCCGAUCUUGGCUCACUGCAGCCUCUGCGUCCUGGGUUCAAGCGAUUCUUCUGCCCCCUGAGUAGCUGGGAUUACAGGCAUGCGCCACCUUGCCCAGCUAAUUUUUGGAUUUUUUUAGUAGAGAUGGGGUUUUGCCAUAUUGACGAGGCUGGUCUUGAACUCCUGACCUCAAGUGAUCCACCCGCCUUUGUCUCCCAAAGUGCUGGGAUUACAGGCUUGAGCCACCAUGCCCAGCCCAUGCCAUGUAUGUUUUACCACAAUACAUAGUAAUAAUUUUGUUUUAAGUAAUACAGCAAUCUCUGUAAGCUCCUUUAGCCAAAGACAGUCACUAUUAACACACAGUUAGUCUAAG